ACCUGGUUGAUCCUGCCAGAGGCUACCGCUAUUGGAGUUCGAUUAAGCCAUGCGAGUCGCGAGAAAUUAGAUUCUCGGCGUACCGCUCAGUAACACGUGGGUAACCUGCCCUAUGCUGGAUAAUAACCUCGGGAAACUGAGAAUAAUGAUCCAUAGUUCACUACGCCUGGAACGGUGAGUGGAUGAAAGCUCCGGCGGCAUAGGAUGGGCCUGCGGCGUAUCGGGUUGUAGGGGGUGUAACGUACCCUCUAGCCCUCUACGCGUACGGGUGUUGGGAGACAUAGCCCGGAGAUGGAUUCUGAGACACGAAUCCAGACCCUACGGGGUGCAGCAGGCGCGAAAACUUGGCAAUGCGAGAAAUCGUGACCAGGGAACUCCAAGUGCAUCGGGUAAGACCGGUGCUUUUCUUGACUCUAAAUAGGUCUUGGAAUAAGGGGUGGGUAAGGACGGUGCCAGCCGCCGCGGUAAUACCGGCGCCUCAAGUGGUAGUCGCUUUU
rnacentral:rRNA from 1 species